rnacentral:rRNA from 1 species
CAGAAGUGGCUAGUCUAACCGCAAGGAGGACGGUCACCACGGUAGGAUUCAUGACUGGGGUGAAGUCGUAACAAGGUAGCCGUAUCGGAAGGUGCGGCUGGAUCACCUCCUUUCCAG